rnacentral:sRNA from 1 species
CUUCCCACUUUCACAUUCCAGCCUCUGUUAUUGCACUUAAAACACUAGGGUUAAAUGUGUUUACCUUAAAUAGGCUUACUGUGUUCACUGCCGGACGCCUCUGGGCAAUCUUAUCCUCCUGGGAACUGAGAGAGACAAUGCUAGGAGCUAGAAACAUGAGGAAUACAUGAGCUCGGUGCCAAUGGAACGUGCUUUCACACCGGGUGCAGCUGACUACCACAUCAUACAAAACUCAUCACUGCCGUUUUAGAUGUGUAAUCUGAUUGGCAUGGGCUCACAGAGGAGGGAGUAAGGGAAGAGUAAGAAGAUUUCAAAGGAGAGACACAGGUUGCAGGUUAGCAGGAGAACAGGCAAGCCAAAUGCAAAGGAGCCACUUCAGAAAUGUCACAGAAAAGUGAAAAUGCAGCCUAGUGGUAAAUGAAGAGGGGAAGAAGAAAGAAAAAGGACCAGAACCGUGAACUGAAGGGACGGGGAACAGCCAGAGGAGAGCUUCAGCCAUCACGAGGAUGAUUUCGGAACCUGGAGAAAAUAAAAUGCAUUGAAA